UACAGAGGUCUCAAGCGUUGUUCGGAUUCAUUGGGCGUAAAGGGUGCGUAGGCGGCCUGACAAGUCUGAUGUGAAAUCCCUGGGCUCAACCCAGGGCCUGCAUCGGAAACUGUCGGGCUUGAGUAUGGGAGAGGUGAGUGGAAUUUCCGGUGUAGCGGUGAAAUGCGUAGAUAUCGGAAGGAACACCUGUGGCGAAAGCGGCUCACUGGACCAUUACUGACGCUGAGGCACGAAAGCUAGGGGAGCAAACAGG
rnacentral:rRNA from 1 species